GGCUGUGUCGUGGAGUGGUUACCACGCCUGCUCGAGAUAUGAUCAUUGUUCGAAUUUCCGCGGGUGACGAGGGUUUGAAUCCCUCCAUGGGCA